AAUAUUGGACAAUGGGUGAGAGCCUGAUCCAGCCAUCCCGCGUGCAGGAAGAAUGCCUUAUGGGUUGUAAACUGCUUUUAUACAGGAAUAAACCACUUUACGUGUAAGGUGUUGAAGGUACUGUAUGAAUAAGCAUCGGCUAACUCCGUGCCAGCAGCCGCGGUAAUACGGAGGAUGCAAGCGUUAUCCGGAUUUAUUGGGUUUAAAGGGUCCGUAGGCGGGGAUAUAAAGUCAGAGUGGAAACCGACAGGCUAAAUGUUCAAACGGCUUUGAAACUUUUUGUCUUGGGUGGAAUUUGAGCCACUGGAAUGUUUUGUGUUACCGUGAAAUGGCAAGAAAAUACACAAAACCACGAUAGCGUAGGCAGGUUGCUAAGUCUUUACUGACGCUGAUGGACGAAAGCGUGGGGAGCAAAC
rnacentral:rRNA from 1 species